rnacentral:pre_miRNA from 1 species
UCUUACAGAUGAGCAAAGAAGGUAGUUUCUUGAGACGGAAUCUACUCCUGGUGAAGACACUAUGAA